GAUGAACGCUGGCGGCGUGCCUAAUACAUGCAAGUCGAGCGAACAGACGAGGAGCUUGCUCCUCUGACGUUAGCGGCGGACGGGUGAGUAACACGUGGAUAACCUACCUAUAAGACUGGGAUAACUUCGGGAAACCGGAGCUAAUACCGGAUAAUAUAUUGAACCGCAUGGUUCAAUAGUGAAAGACGGUUUUGCUGUCACUUAUAGAUGGAUCCGCGCCGCAUUAGCUAGUUGGUAAGGUAACGGCUUGCCAAUGCAACGAUGCGUAGCCGACCUGAGAGGGUGAUCGGCCACACUGGAACUGAGACACGGUCCAGACUCCUACGGGAGGCAGCAGUAGGGAAUCUUCCGCAAUGGGCGAAAGCUUGACGGAGCAACGCCGCGUGAGUGAUGAAAGUCUUCGGAUCGUAAGACUCUGUUAUUAGGGAAGAACAAAUGUGUAAGUAACUAUGCACGUCUUGACGGUACCUAAUCAGAAAGCCACGGCUAACUACGUG
rnacentral:rRNA from 1 species